rnacentral:rRNA from 1 species
CCUACGGGAGGCAGCAGUGGGGAAUUUUCCGCAAUGGGGGAAACCCUGACGCAGCAACACCGCGUGAAUGUUAAGCCCUUCGGGGUGUAAAGUUCUGUCAGUGGGGAAGAAUUUUGACUGUACCCACAAAGGAAGCACCGGCUAACUCCGUGCCAGCAGCCGCGGUAAUACGGGGGGUGCAAGCGUUGUCCGGAAUCAUUGGGCGUAAAGCGUUCGUAGGCGGCAUAUCAAGUCUGGUGUUAAAGCCCGGGGCUCAACUCCGGUUCGGCACUGGAUACUGGUAAGCUAGAAUGUAGUAGAGGUAAGGGGAAUUCCUGGUGUAGCGGUGAAAUGCGUAGAUAUCAGGAGGAACAUCGGUGGCGAAGGCGCCUUACUGGGCUAUUAUUGACGCUGAGGAACGAAAGCCAGGGGAGCAAAUGGGAUUAGAUACCCCUGUAGUC